CCCCUAGAUGUUCUGGGCCGCACGCGCGCUACACUGAACAGUUCAACAAGUCUUAACCUUGGCCGAUAGGUCUGGGUAAUCUUUGAACGCUGUUCGUGAUUGGGAUAGACCUUUGCAAUUAUGGGUCUUCAACGAGGAAUUCCUAGUAAACGCAAGUCAUCAGCUUGCAUUGAUUACGUCCCUGCCCUUUGUACACACCGCCCGUCGCACCUACCGAUUGAAUGGUCCGGUGAAAUCUCGGGACGGCGGCUUGGUCGCUUGCGUCCGACUGCUGAAACUUGAUUAAACCAUAUCAUCUAGAGGAAGUAAAAGUCGUAACA
rnacentral:rRNA from 1 species